AUCGCUUCUCGGCCUUUUGGCUAAGAUCAAGUGUAGAAAUGUUUACAAGAUCCUGUUUAGUCAAAAAAGAUUAAUGAAAAUAAAUUAUGCAUUUGAAGCAUUCACAUACUGAACUUUU
ensembl:snRNA U2 U2 spliceosomal RNA